rnacentral:misc_RNA from 1 species
UGGGAAUGUGAUCAAAUUUAAUUUUAAAAUCUUCAAGUUGUUAUUUCAUCCAUAAAAUUUGUGCCACACAAGUUUUAGCUACAAUAUAUUCAGCUUCUGCUGUAGAGAGUGCAACAGAAGUUUGUUUUUUUACUAUGCCAUGAGACUAAUGUAUGACUAAGAAAUUGACAAGUUUUAGAAGUGCUUUUUUUGUCCAACCUACUACUAGCAAAAUCAAAA